rnacentral:lncRNA from 1 species
ACAAAUCUUCUUCUAUCAAUCACGUGCUCUCCUCUCUUUUUCCUCUGCCUUCUGUGCUCUCUCCUUAAUUGUUAUCUCUUUAAUUUGUUGCCUUCUUACAUGCAAACCUUAUCCAAUCUUUGUUAGUUUUGUUCGUUAGCUUUUCUUUUUAUUUCUUUUAUAUAUAAACAGUUUUGUUCGUUGGUUGACAAAGUUAUUAUUAAAGCUAGCUCUCAAAAAAAAAAAAGUUAUAAAGUUUAAUUGAAUCAUACACUUAGUUGCAAAAAGCAUGGAGAACAAGAACAACAAAAAGAAAGUUGGAGGAGCUGGUUCUUCCUCAUCAUCUACUACCAAUUUUGAUCAUCUUUUUGGUCCUAAGGAUCCUUCCAACAACAUCUUUAACUCCAUUUUUCCACCUCCAUCCACUGUAUGCAUGAUCUCCUA